UACGUAGGGCGCGAGCGUUAUCCGGAAUUAUUGGGCGUAAAGAGCUCGUAGGCGGUUUGCCGCGUCUGCUGUGAAAGCCCGGGGCUUAACUCCGGGUGUGCAGUGGGUACGGGCAGACUAGAGUGCAGUAGGGGAGACUGGAAUUCCUGGUGUAGCGGUGAAAUGCGCAGAUAUCAGGAGGAACACCGAUGGCGAAGGCAGGUCUCUGGGCUGUUACUGACGCUGAGGAGCGAAAGCAUGGGGAG
rnacentral:rRNA from 1 species